UUCCUUUUUCCAGAUGUUUCCUCCAAACAAACCAAAUGAACUUGAGUUCCCGCGUGAAGAUGACCCGGCUCGAACGGCGCGAAGCUCGGACUCACGUCUGCCUUUGAACAUGCUCAUGACGCCGCGGAGGAGCGCGCGCCGCCGCCUCUUUCCCGCCGAGCCGUCGGAUUGAGCGCCGCCGCCGCCGGAGCUUCACCUCCAGACAGGACCGUACCAUUCAGCGGAAACUAACUCCGGAUAGGUUGGCGUGGAUACAAAUCUGGACAGAAGUUUGAGUCAUCUUUAUGAAUCUCAAGGCUCGCUUGAAGGCCAACGUCCACGGAGCGUAUCUGAGUCACGGACUCUGGAAUUCAUUAACGCUCACAGAGAGGCAAAUAAACCCAAAUGUUCUCUAUGGAAACAAAUCAUUCAUCAAGUUUGAUAUGAAGAGUAGCAAAGCUGUCAUCCAUCCAUCAUCCAUCCAUCAU